rnacentral:rRNA from 1 species
GGCGGCGUGCCUAAUACAUGCAAGUCGAGCGGACAGAUGGGAGCUUGCUCCCUGAUGUUAGCGGCGGACGGGUGAGUAACACGUGGGUAACCUGCCUGUAAGACUGGGAUAACUCCGGGAAACCGGGGCUAAUACCGGAUGGUUGUUUGAACCGCAUGGUUCAAACAUAAAAGGUGGCUUCGGCUACCACUUACAGAUGGACCCGCGGCGCAUUAGCUAGUUGGUGAGGUAAYGGCUCACCAAGGCAACGAUGCGUAGCCGACCUGAGAGGGUGAUCGGCCACACUGGGACUGAGACACGGCCCAGACUCCUACGGGAGGCAGCAGUAGGGAAUCUUCCGCAAUGGACGAAAGUCUGACGGAGCAACGCCGCGUGAGUGAUGAAGGUUUUCGGAUCGUAAAGCUCUGUUGUUAGGGAAGAACAAGUACCGUUCGAAUAGGGCGGUACCUUGACGGUACCU